CGACUCUCGGCAACGGAUAUCUCGGCUCACGCAUCGAUGAAGAACGUAGCAAAAUGCGAUACUUGGUGUGAAUUGCAGAAUCCCGUGAACCAUCGAGUUUUUGAACGCAAGUUGCGCCCGAAGCCACCCGGCUGAGGGCACGUCUGCCUGGGCGUCACG
rnacentral:rRNA from 1 species